rnacentral:rRNA from 1 species
GCAAGUCGAGCGGAAACGACACUAACAAUCCUUCUGGUCCGUUAAGGGCGUCGAGCGGCGGACGGGCGAGUAAUGCCUAGUAAAUUGCCUGGAUGUGGGGGAUAACCAUUGGUAAUGAUGGCUAAUACCGCAUAAUGACUACGGGCCAAAGAGGGGGACCUUCGGACCUCUCGCGUCAAGAUAAGCCUAGGUGGGAUUAGCUAGUUGGUGAGGUAAUGGCUCACCAAGGCGACGAUCCCUAGCUGGUCUGAGAGGAUGAUC